CCUCUGCCAAGUGGUAUGGUCCUGACAGAAGGAUCUUCUUGCCAGAGGGUCUCUUGGACCAAUCCAAGAUCCCACCAUACUUGACUGGAGAAGUGCCCGGAGACCAUGGUUAUGAUCAUUUUGGUCUCAGCAAGAAGCUAGAGGACUUUGCCAAGAUUCUGGCUGAAGUUGAAAACCUUGCUACUAAUUGUAAUGAGACUGAGCUUAAGUUGUAUUGUUUCUGUAUUUUUUUUUUCAAUUUUUAGUUUUGGAAUUUGAACUCGAGAUUUAUUUUGUAUUUGAGUAUUAGUUUUUUAAUGUAUAAAACAAUUAUCGCAAAAAUUAUGUCAC